GCAUGAGGUUUAUGUGAUGAGUGAGAGGAGGUUCUUCAAAGUACCCAAAAAUGUGCCCCAUGAAAGAACUGAUGAUGGUCCCUACCAGAAAGGAGGGCAGUGUGUCGCCUCUCAAUGUUAGCCUAGAGGGAAUGGUGUUGUGAGAUACAUUUGUUUGCCCCUCUUCCUCUAAUCUCACCAGUACCAACUGGACCCUAGAAGAACCAGAAGAGAAAUGAGGCAGAAAAAGGGUAACACUGCAAGUCAACCCCUCCCUCCCAACUGCACAUCCCGAGCUUAAGCUUAGGCACCUCUUGGCCGGCUCAGCCAGGGCAGCAGUCUCACUGGAUUGAAACAAGUUCCUCCAGCAACAGUGUGGUGUGUUCCCCUGAAGAACCGCCCCCCGACCCACCACCACCUCGACCCUGCCAAAAGGUUCAGCUGGGCUGUCCCCCCGCCCCCACCGCCACUUCCUCAGCUGGAAAUGGAGGCCAAAUAUAACCAGCCCUUUCCCGGCUCACAAAAAUUCCAAUCAGACGGCUGUGCACAGUGACAACCGGCCAAAGAACGUCUCCCCAGCCCACAGCCAAAAAUAACAGCCACUUGGUGAGUAUGGGCUAGAAUUCUUUUUUUCCUGUUGUUGGGAUUUUGUUUGGAGGUAUUUUUGUUUUGGUUUUGGAUUGUUUUGUCUUUGUCAUUUGGAAGUAAACGGAGUAACCGAAGAAGUUGCUAUGUCAACAUCCCAUGUUAGACCCAUGGGUUUCAAUCUCGUUGUGGGGGGUCAGGACCAGAAAAGUAUUCAUCUCUUCCACCUCCCCAGUCACCCAUAUAGAAGGACAGUCUAGUAAGUGCAUCUGCCCAACUCUGUCCUGCAGUGCCUCCUGCACAGCCAUCAUCACACAGGGACCGACCACUAGGAAGCCUUUUCUCCUCAGUCCAGCUGGAGUGACUGGAAGAGGCUCAUCUCUGGGGCUGGAUGGGGUCAAUCCCAUGUUUAUAGCCAUGAUGCACCUGGGCAGCCAGCAGGCUGUGGGCCCCAGAGCUGUCAGUUCUGUGCCCUCCGCAAGUACGAAAAUGACUUAAAUUAUUAAUUUAUUUCUUUAAAAGUACACAGUUUUCAACAGCUACCAAGCCCACUUUUGAUCUGCCUCCUGACACACAAGGCUCUUGUCAACCAGGUUCUCUGCCGGCCAACAGACAUGUCUUGUUAAAUCUUACCUAGCGGGUGACACUAAAUGGAACUGUGCUAAGGAGAUCCAGGCUGGGAAAGGUGAAUAUCUCCACUGUGCCCUAUUUCCAAAUGCAAUGAAUAAUAAGCAAUUGUGCAAAACUAUAGCCUUCAAUUGUUGGAACACCUUUGUUCUUUUGUUCUUCAAAGGCAGAAUGUUUUCUGGCAUGUUGCUACCUGAGGAAAAAAAACACUCCCUUAAUUUAUACAUGUGCGUGCAUAUCACACAGAUACAUCUCAUUUCUUGUCGCAUUGCAUGCUGUCCCAGGACCAAUAAAUAAUUUAU